UUGGUAUUCUGAAUCCAAACAGUUCACAUAUGUAAUUUGAUUAUCUUCUACAUUAAGUUAUUUGUCAAUUGCCGCCAGGUUAUAACUAAAUUUAGUGGUUCUGCUCUGCACUUCCCUCAAAACCACUGUUUAACAUUUCUUUUCCGGUAAGAAUGAGCGAGUAGCGGAAAAGCAUGAAAAAAAAAACUCAUCUUCGACCAAUCAGAAGCGGUUGCUAGGCGGAGCAGAGUCAGUCGACCAAUCAGCGUUUGUCUCCCGGCGUCUGUCGUCAUUGAACGUGACGGACGCGGAACAGAGCGGAGCGGUGGAGAAACAAAGGCGGAAAAAACGAGUGAAAAUACGGAUUAAAACCAGCGUCUGAGUCGUAGAUUAGUCGCUUCGUUUUCUUACACUGUGAGAAAUUUCAUUACCGAACAAGUCUGGACGCUAAAACAAGCUUUCUGAGGCUGGAUACUGAUCACUCCUGCGGCGAAGUUGUGAAAAAGCGGACGCGCUCGAAUCCGCUAUUUUCCUCCCCGGCCGGCUGUUGGUGUUGGUUUCCAUGGAGAUGCGCGUCCAUGAAUUCGGGGGCGGGGCUCCUGAAGCAGCGCUGCAAGGACAGGUCUUCGUGUUGAGCUGCUGCAGCCUGGACGG